UCAAUUUCAAAGCAGGAGUGGU
rnacentral:miRNA from 2 species